UAAGUUCAAAUAUGGAUUCCUUUAAGGUAGUUGUAACACCCUAGUUCCCCAACUCGACAUUUAGUAAAAUAAUAUAAUUUUUUUAACUAAACACUCAGAGUGUCACGCAUGUUUCACCAAGCAUAAAAACCAACAACAUAUAAUCAUGUGAAUUAAGUAGUUGAAACAAUAAAGUUUGACAUGUAUCUCAACAACAAAUGAAUAACAAAGUGGUUCAACAACUCCAUAGUGAAUAAGACAUGUAAUAAUAAAAUA
rnacentral:lncRNA from 1 species